UCGAUGAGAUGCUCCCUAACAUCUGCUCCUCAGCAUCCCAGUGUAGUUCUGUGACCACAGGCCGGCUGGCUGCCCUGCCCCUGGAAAAAGGUGAUCAGUGGAAGGAAGAAGCCCCUCUCAAGAUUAAGUCUCUCACCAUUUUGUCAAAACAGACCAGUUUUUGCUUGGAAGAGCAUGCAGUACAAAACACUGGAUCCUGAUCAUCGGGAAGCAAUACAUAGCCUUUUUCUCCCAAUAGACUGAGUUCUCUUACAGAAAACCAUGUCAACGUCUAAUUGACAUUGAUAGCACAAAAAGUGUGAUUGACUGACAGGCUUUAAUGGAAGAGAGCUGGAUAAAACCACAUAAGCUCUCAAUAGCACCAUUUUAAUUUCUUCCUGAAGAUGGAGGAUAAGAAGGAACACUCUCUGCCAUCACUUCCCAAAGAAGCCACACCACCUACUUCAGUGAGAACAGCAAAAUCUUGUGGGAAGAGGGAGGUGUCAACAAGCUAAUACUUCUUUUAUCACCGGUUUGUGGCAUUGGGCUCAGUGGAUUGAAGAAUACCCAAAACCGCCUCUAUUCUGGGGCAUAAAGAAGACAAUAGAUGAGAGAGACCUGUAAGAUCUGCACUGUGUUGCACAACGUGGGGGAGCAGGUCUCAAGUGAUAAAAUCUCCAGGAUGAAUAACCUUUUUACAAUGAGUGGAGCAUAUUAAAAAGUCUAGAGCUGGUUCUGAAUGUCUGUUGGAAUUGCUUGCCUAAGUCCAAUAAAACCUUUUACCUGGGUGUUCAAGACUUCAAUCAA